rnacentral:rRNA from 1 species
GUCCAGCCUGCCCAGUGACUACGGGUUCAACGGCCGCGGUAUUUUGACCGUGCAAAGGUGGCGCAAUCACUUGUCUCUUAAAUAGAGACCUGUAUGAAUGGCUAGACGAGGGCUUAACUGUCUCCCCCUUCCAGUCAGUGAAAUUGAUCUAUCCGUGCAGAAGCGGGUAUAAUUAUACAAGACGAGAAGACCCUUUGGAGCUUAAGGUACAAAAAUCAACCACGUUAAACGACUCCGCAAAAAGCACGAACUUAGUGGCAAAUGAAAUUUUACCUUCGGUUGGGGCGACCACGGAGGAAAAAGAAGCCUCCGAGUGGACUGGGCCAAAUCCCUAAAGCCAAUAGAUACAUCUAUAAGCCGCAGAACAUCUGACCAAAAAUGAUCCGGCCAAAAAGCCGAUCAACGAACCAAGUUACCCUAGGGAUAACAGCGCAAUCCUCUCCCAGAGUCCAUAUCGACGAGGGGGUUUACGACCUCGAUGUUGGAUCAGGACAUCCUAAUGGUGCAGCCGCUAUUAAGGGUUCGUUUGUUCAACGAUUAAAGUCCUACGUGAUCUGAG